CCACAGAUCUCUUCCCAUGGUUUAUUGCUUAUAAAAAGUCUGAUCAUUAAAUGCAUUUAAAAUAUUGUAUUCUAAACACUAUGAUACUAACAAAAGAGUUGCAAAACGUUAAUGUUGAGCUCUUCAGCGCUCCAUUGAGAGAUGUCAGUCUGAUCUGCUGGAAAUGAUGCAGGAGAAACAGAAAGCAGCAGAGAAACAGGAUGAAGAGCUCAUUCAAGAGCUGCAGCAGGAAAUCACUGAGCUCAAGAUGAGAAACACUGAGCUGGAUCAUCUCUUACACACAGAGGAUCACCUCCACCUCCUACAGGUCAGUCUGCUCACAUCACAGGACAACACUCACACUCACCAAUGCUAAGGGAUUUGUCCUCUCUCCUGCUGCAGAUUGAACUAUUUUUGUGCAGCCCUCCACACCCCAGGAACUGGCCUUAAGAUCAGUAUGAACAUUGAUAUGAGUGAGAGCUCUGACUCAGCUGCAAGACACUCCAGACGAGAAAAUCAGUCAAACUGCCGGAGGGCGCUCUGUGCACCUUUAGUCCACAAAUUAAUCUAAAGAAGAACAGGACAUUCCAGGAACUGAUGGCAUGACUUCCAGAGAUACAGCUAAUCUAUAUCUCAUCCUGUCUGAUGAUGGGGGGAAAAGCGAGACAUGAAGACAUUAAACGAAAAAUCCCAGAUAACCCUGAGAGGUUUGAUAACUGCAUCUGUGUCUCCUUAGGGAGGUUUUAUUUUGAGGUGCAGGUGAUGGGAAAGACUACAUGGAUUUAGGAGUGGCCAGAGAAUCUGUUAACAGAAAGGAAAAGAUCACAGUGACUCCUCAGAAUGGAUACUGGACUGUGUCUCUGUGGAAUGGGAAUGAAUAUUGGACCUGUGCCGCUCCAUCUGUCCGCCUGUCUCUGAGAGUGAAACCGCAGAAGGUGGGGGUGUUUGUGGAUUAUGAGGAUGGUCUGGUCUCCUUCUGUGAUGUGGAGCCCAGAUCUCAUGUCUACUCAUUGACAGAGAAACUCUGAGUCAUAAUGAUAAAGGAAAAAAUUCAGCCCCACUGAUCAUCUCACCUGCCAAUUACAAUAAAUGAUUUUACACCCAAGAUAUGAAAUGAAAAUAUAGCUUUUUUAAAACUGAGAACCUAAAAAAAUGGUACUCACACUGGUCACUGGUUGCUGGUAGAUCCUGUAAUUACACAAUUUGGGUUCUAAUUUGGGUUCUAAUUACACAAUUUGGGUUCUUUUUUCUCAAAUCAGCCAUUAUUGCAAUUGAAGUUAUAUUUUAGAUGUUUAGUUUUGAUGAUAUGAAAUUCUGCCAUAUAGAGACAAUGAAUGAAAUGUCAAAAUUUGGAUUUGAUUUAUGAAUAAU